AUACUCUCAAUAAUAACUUCAAUCUAUAUUUAUUCUUUUCGAAAACUCCCACACUUUUUCCCUCCAUUGCCGUUCUCCUGCUCUCCACCCAUCUCUACUCUUCACGCCUCCACACUGCAUGCCGCCGUCGACCCAUCGUCACCGUCCACCUCCACUGUUGCCGGCCAACCUAGCCAAGCCCUUCCCUCGUGGCUACUCUCUCUCCCGCAAAUCUCCCUCUCUCUUCACCCUCGAAUACCCUUUCUCCCUCGGGUUCCCAGUGCCGCCGUGUCCUCAGCCGUCGCACCACCUCCAGCUACUGGCGUAGCUACCCCCCGCCCCCCCGAACGGUCCCCAGCCCCUCCACCGAAGCUCUCCCUCUCUCUCACCGUCGAUCUACUCUUCCACUCACGGAUCUUGCUCAAGCUCCUCGUAUAAGCCCUGCGCCGCCUUCCUCCACGGCGCAGCACCACCGCAAGUCAGCCCUCCACACGGCCGCAAGGCCACCCCCAUGCUCCACUGUCUCCCCUUCAACGCCGUAAGCCAACCCAGAACAGAGCAACCUCUGCUUUUGUUUAUCAGCAUAUAGGAAAGUAGCUUUUUAUCUCCAAUUAGGCCAAAUUCUUAGCGCCUUGAUGGUAUACGAAAAUGCUUGCCAGCUGGUCUACUUCUAUCAGCAUCCAUUGAUGCCUCGCUUGAGAUGCAGUUAUGGUAAAAAAGAACCUGUAAGCUCUCUCUGCUUUAAACUAAAAAAGAGAGCAUUGUUGUAAUUCUUGUUGAACAGCUUAGUGUACAUAGCAUGACUUGAAGAAUACUACUCAUGUCGCCCACUGAUUGAAAAGGAAUGGGCUUCUUGUCUUGAGGUCCAUUAGCACUAAUCCCUGUUGCUGGUGAAUCCUUUCCAACUCUCAUGGCUUGGUUCUUCUUGAUACAGCUUACAUAUUUUAUCUAUUGAAGUUGGAUGGAAGAUGAAAGAUGUGAAAAGAUCGGCAGCUUACAUUUUUUGAACUGAAACAUAUUAUUUCGUAUUUACUUAAAUUACUUGCAGAAAGGAGGAUCGCCGCUCAGUCUCCACACCCGGCUUAGGCAGCGUAGGGAAAAAGUUAUGUACAGCUAACUGAGGCUAGUGUGAGCUUCCUCUCUUUCAUCCCUAGAUACAAGCUUAUUGGAAAUGAAGUUGUUGCUUGUGUUGGAAAUACAAGUGAAAUGUUUCACUAGUAUUUUUUUUUUGAAAAUUUUUGUAACAAAUUGAUUUUAGAUCUAAUGUAUUAUCGAUGGAUGGAUUUUAUAAUGCUAUCUAGUCUUGUGCUCUA